rnacentral:lncRNA from 1 species
GCGGAAAUGAGGUAAGCAAAACUCUUUGGCUUUGGAGGAUUCCAUGAGGCAGAAGCUUUCCUUGGAGCCCAGUCUCAGCCUUUCCAUGUCAGGAAUUCACUUAACCACUGGCAAUCGACUCUACAGAACUGUGAAGACUUACACUGCCCCAAAGGAUUCAUAUGCUAUGAAAAUGAAUGCUGUCAGGAAAGCAAGAACUGGGAUCCUGAUACUGAACACUUCACCAUUGCACUGAUCGUCUUUUGGGUCAUCUUCGCCCUCCUGUGCAUCUGUGGCCUUGUGAUGUCCAAAUGCCAAGGACUACAGCAUGACCUCAGACCAGCGGAUCAUCAUACUCCUCAAAAUCCACCCUCCAAAGCUCCUCUAGAGAGCAUUUGGGUCACCUCCGUGGAUCCCCUACCAACCAUUCGUUGUUCUGAAUUCAACUGAGACUGAAACACGUCCUCCCUAUAGCCUCAGGCCUGAAGGCUUACUGUCCAGAUGAGAGGGACUCGCUAUAUGCAACCCUAUCACCCACCUCACACACAAACCUCUUGGAGGCAGCCAAAGACCAUGGAAUGACUGCA